rnacentral:rRNA from 1 species
UACGUAGGGUGCGAGCGUUGUCCGGAAUUACUGGGCGUAAAGCGUGCGCAGGCGGUGAUGUAAGACAGGUGUGAAAUCCCCGGGCUUAACCUGGGAACUGCAUUUGUGACUGCAUCGCUGGAGUGCGGCAGAGGGGGAUGGAAUUCCGCGUGUAGCAGUGAAAUGCGUAGAUAUGCGGAGGAACACCGAUGGCGAAGGCAAUCCCCUGGGCCUGCACUGACGCUCAUGCACGAAAGCGUGGGGAGCAAACAGG